GGUUGUGGCUCAGUGGUAGACUACUUGCCUAGCACAUGUGAGGCACUGGGUUCGAUCCUCAGCACCA
rnacentral:tRNA from 1 species